AGGUCAAGCAAGAAAGAGCGCAGGGUGGAUGCCUUGGCACUAAGAGCCGAAGAAAGACGUGAUAAGCUGCGAAAAGCUGCGGGGAGGAGCAAAUAUCCAUUGAGCCGCAGAUAUCUGAAUGGGGAAACCCGGCUGGAUGAACUCCAGUCAUCCAUACGCCAAUCCAUAACGUAUGGAAGGGAACCCGGUGAACUGAAACAUCUAAGUAGCCGGAGGAAGAGAAAGAAAMAUCGAUUUCCAAAGUAGCGGCGAGCGAAAUGGAAAGAGGCCAAACCAUGGUGCGUGCACCGUGGGGUUCGGACCGCAUAAUUGAUUCGUUGAUCCUAGCAGAAAGGUUUUGGGAAAGCCUGCCAGAGAGGGUGAAAGCCCCGUAAGCGAAAGGAAAGACGACAUGGCGGAAUCCAGAGUACAUCGAGACACGAGAAACCUUGAUGGAAUGAGCGGGGACCACCCCGUAAGCCUAAAUACUCCUUAGUGACCGAUAGCGCAUAGUACUGUGAAGGAAAGGUGAAAAG
rnacentral:rRNA from 1 species